rnacentral:rRNA from 1 species
CGCGCGCUACACUGAUGAAGUCAACGAGUUCAUUUCCUUUAUCGGAAGAUAUGGGUAAUCUUUUGAAACUUCAUCGUGCUGGGGAUAGAGCAUUGCAACUAUUGCUCUUGAACGAGGAAUCCCUAGUAAGCACAAGUCACUAGCUUGUGCUGAUUACGUCCCUGCCCUUUGUACACACCGCCCGUCGCUACUACCGAUUGAAUGGCUUAGUGAG